UUGACCUACGGGAGGCAGCAGUGGGGAAUAUUGCACAAUGGGGGAAACCCUGAUGCAGCGACGCCGCGUGAGCGAAGAAGUAUUUCGGUAUGUAAAGCUCUAUCAGCAGGGAAGAAAAAUGACGGUACCUGAGUAAGAAGCACCGGCUAAAUACGUGCCAGCAGCCGCGGUAAUACGUAUGGUGCAAGCGUUAUCCGGAUUUACUGGGUGUAAAGGGAGCGCAGACGGCUGUGCAAGUCUGGAGUGAAAGGCGGGGGCCCAACCCCCGGACUGCUCUGGAAACUGUAAAGCUGGAGUGCAGGAGG
rnacentral:rRNA from 1 species